UGGUCUCGUACGGUCACACUGCAGGGGCAUACGUUUGUUUCCAUAUGAAAUGAACUGACUGUUUUUAUUCGGAGUGCGAAAAAUGGACAAAGCUUCUUUUGGACCGAUAUUCUUUAUAUAACGGCUUUGCGACUAGACAACCGAAAGGAGUUCGACUUACUUAUCUGGCGCCACCUAAGCGUGGUCGUCCUGCUCCAAACACCUUCCCUCAACCCCGUGCUCCGCUCCUGGGUGCGCGAAUCAAUUACAGCAACGUCGUAACGCGAAAAUCGAUUUCGGCUGCGGGCGCAGGCUGAACCAUCAGAAAGUAUGUUCCACUGCGAUGUGGACACAGGGAUAGAUAUGACAUCGCCCAGCCGGAUGAAGAACGCAGCCGAUCGCCGGCAGCACCAAUCCUGGCCGCAGAGAUGCCGGCGGAGCAACAUGCUUAUCCUGGUCGGAGUCGCCUUGUGCACCCUCGUUUCAGUAUGCGACGCCACGGACACGGACAUCGCGCUAGACGCCAAGGCCACGCUGAAUCACCGCAUCCAAAGCCUGGACCUGCUCGUUUUCGUGUUCCUGCUGGCCCUUACGGUCCUUACCAUCUGGCUAUUCAAGCACCAUCGCGUCUCCUGGCUCCACGAGACCGGACUGGCAGUCAUCUACGGUUUAAUUGUAGGAGCAAUUAUACGGUAUGCGGGCACCUCCGCCACCCUUGUCCAUAUGCAGGUGGAGCCGCAAGGAGUUCCGACGUACAGCGACAAGGUGCCGCCCGAUACACUCUGGUUUAACUACCCCGUUAACCAAACGAAUGGAACCAAAGUGCCAGAGGGCAUUAAGACGUAUGCCUAUGUUUUUCGGGGUCAGGUCCACGAUGUCGAUGAAAACGAAAUCGAUCUUAAGGCAACUUUCGAUCCGGAGGUGUUUUUUAACAUUAUCCUACCGCCAAUCAUAUUUUACGCAGGUUACAGCUUGAAAAAGAAAUAUUUUUUCCGAAACCUUGGUGCCAUUCUCACCUUUGCCAUUGUUGGCACCACUUUAUCGGCCUUUCUGGUCGGAGGCUUCAUGUACGGCUGUGUGAAACUGAUGCCAAAGUACUUGAGCAGCAGUUUCUCAUUUCUGGACACUCUUUACUUUGGAGCCCUGAUAUCACCCACAGAUCCGCUCACGAUUCUAGCCAUAUUCAAUGAUCUGCGGGUCGAUGUUAACCUAUAUGCGCUAGUCUUGGGCGAAUCUGUGCUUAACGAUGCCGUGGCCAUUGUCCUUAGCGGAGCCAUUCAAAACUAUGGUGAACAUUAUUCCAACACAGGGGAAUUCGAAACUACAGCUUUUCUGCGCUCUCUAAGUGACUUCUUUUCCAUCUUUAUACUGUCCCUGAUGAUUGGAGCUGCAAUGGGCUGCUUGACAGCUUUGAUGACCAAGUUUACGAGGGUGCGCGACUUUCCCCUACUAGAGUCGGCGCUCUUCGUGUUAAUGAGCUACAGCACGUUCUUGCUGGCAGAGGCUACACAGCUCACUGGAGUGGUGGCCGUGCUCUUUUGCGGCAUCUGCCAGGCUCACUACACAUAUAACAACCUCUCGGAGGAUUCUCGGCAAAGGACAAAACAGAUCUUCGAGCUGCUCAACUUUCUGGCUGAGAACUUUAUUUUCUCCUAUAUUGGAGUGUCGAUGUUUACCUUUCCCAAGCAUCAUUUUGACGCAGGAUUUAUCAUAACAGCUUUCAUCUGCGCCGCUAUAGGACGUGCGGUAAACGUGUAUCCCUUGUCCUGGUUGUUAAACAUAAAGCGAAAACCAAAAAUCUCGGCAAACUUUCAACACAUGCUGUUUUUUGCAGGGUUACGUGGAGCCAUGUCCUUUGCGUUGGCUAUUCGAAAUACAGUGUCGGAUGCGCGACAGACUAUGCUGACCGCCACUUCGCUGAUUGUCAUCUUUACGGUUGUAAUCCAGGGUGGGGCAGCUAAUUUUCUGCUCAAUUGGUUAAAAAUACCUGUUGGCGUUGACGAUGAGACUGAACAAUUAAAUAAUUACCAAGUGCAUAGUGUUUACAAUUCAAUGGAUAAUUCACACCCGCAGACGUCUGAUGGUUACUUGCAGGAUGUGGAGAGCGGGGCAGGAGGUCACGGCAAAAUGCGGUUGUCCGGUGGAACGGAGUCCAACAUGGACACACCUGCGGAUGGGCCAAAUGGCAGCUUGGGCGGCCCAAGCGGUGGACGUCGUCGUAACAGUCAUGAGAAGGCCAUUCUGGCUAGAAUUUGGGGAAACUUUGAUACCAAGUACAUGAAGCCUAUGCUGACGCACUCGCGACCGACUUUGUUGGAGACGUUGCCCGUUUGCUGUAAUCCCAUUGCCAGGCUGCUCACCACCACGCAGCAGCUAACCCAGGAUGGGAGCGAGUUCAGGCGCGUGGACUCAGACUCGGAUAUUUGCAUAGACAAUGAUACUGGGAAUGGUCUCAGUCAAGACGUCGGACCUGGAACAGGACCAGGCGUGGGGCGGCGGAACUCACUAAGUCGUACGGAAACCCAGACAUAAUAAACUAAAUCCAGAGUCAGUCAGUCCAGUCAGUGAAUUGAUUAACCGACUAACAAAAGCUUAUUAUAGCACAGCAGCUAAAAAUGUUCGUUUGUACUGUACACUUUUAAUUUCUGUAUUUUUCCUCAUAAUCUAAUUUAAUAGAUUCUAACACGCGACUAACCAUGUAUGAGGCGAACAUCGAAAUUUUUACAAUAAGUUUAAUUAAUUUUUAUGUUAUUUAUUAAUUGGUCUCAUUUAAAAUGAAGUAUGCGAAAACUGUACAAAUUAGAUUGUUACUCCUCAGUUUCUCCUUGUUUACGGUAUGUGAUUUGGAACUCUAGUUUUAAAUCUAAUUUAAAUAUUAGGCUUAUCAAUUAAUUUAAAAAUUGUUUCGCAACGAACUAAAAUUCUUAAGGGCACUCAAACUAAAAAGGCUACCGAUCAUCGAGCUGACACACACCAAUACAAUACCUUAAAACACAUGCAUAUAUAUCCUGUUUAAAUCUAUUAUUUUCAAUACUUAGCAAUUUAUAUAUUUUGCCAAAAUAUAGAUAUAAUAAGCCUAAUUAAAUGGACUUGUGAAAAUUAAUAUGAAUACUUAUAUAGACAUAUUUCCUUUUUCUUUAUUUGAUAUCGCGAAAUAUGCAAACAUUUUAAUAAUAUUCGCCUGAACCCACAAAAAAUAAUUGUAUCCAGAUGGAGAUUUUGGAGCAUGUUCAAAGUCCGGUGUCGACGAGAAUCAGACUCUUAGGAUUUUAUGGAAAAAAGUUAUAAAAAGCAAGGCAGAAGAAUUAGAAUAUAAUUUUUGUUGUAUUUUACAUAACAUUAACAUGUAGCUUUUUCGUUCUUACAAAGUUACUGUAAAUAUAUCGUUUUAAAAAGUUAGAACGUUUAUUCGGUUUAACUUAUAAGUUAAAAUACCGAUCAAUUUGCUGAUCUAUUAAUUUGUUCCGAUAUUACCUAAGACACAAUUUCUUACUACAUACAUACGCUGUAUUUGUAUCAAAGCGAAGCUCUCUGAAGAAAUUAAUUGUUGUGCUGUUAAUUUUUAAGUCUAAAAAAAUAAAUUUGAAAAAAAAAAUCGUUUUA